GGAUAGCUCAGUUGGAAGAGCAUGAGACUCUUAAUUUCAGGGUUGUGGGUUCGAGCCCCAGGCUGGGUAAA